rnacentral:tRNA from 1 species
GGGUUCACACCCCACUUAUAAAGGUAAAACCCUUUUCUUUUUA